CCUACGGUGGCAGCAGUGGGGAAUAUUGGACAAUGGGCGAAAGCCUGAUCCAGCCAUGCCGCGUGUGUGAAGAAGGCCUUCGGGUUGUAAAGCACUUUCAGUGGGGAAGAAAGCCUUGGGGCUAAUACCCUCGAGGAAGGACAUCACCCACAGAAGAAGCACCGGCUAACUCCGUGCCAGCAGCCGCGGUAAUACGGAGGGUGCGAGCGUUAAUCGGAAUUACUGGGCGUAAAGCGCGCGUAGGCGGUCUGAUAAGCCGGUUGUGAAAGCCCCGGGCUCAACCUGGGAACGGCAUCCGGAACUGUCAGGCUAGAGUGCAUGAGAGGAAGGUAGAAUUCCCGGUGUAGCGGUGAAAUGCGUAGAGAUCGGGAGGAAUACCAGUGGCGAAGGCGGCCUUCUGGACUGACACUGACGCUGAGGUGCGAAAGCGUGGGUAGCAAACAGGAUUAGAUACCCCUGUAGUC
rnacentral:rRNA from 1 species